rnacentral:tRNA from 2 species
GGUCGAUUAGCUCAGUUGGUUAGAGCGCACGAUUCACAUUCGUGAGGUCAAAGGUUCGAGUCCUUUAUCGACCA